AGGAAAGUAGGGGAUCGUCAAGACCUUGCGUUAAUGGAGCGGCCGAUAUCUGAUUAGCUAGUUGGUGGGGUAAAGGCCCACCAAGGCUUCGAUCAGUAGCUGGUCUGAGAGGACGACCAGCCACACUGGAACUGAGACACGGUCCAGACUCCUACGGGAGGCAGCAGUGGGGAAUUUUGGACAAUGGGCGCAAGCCUGAUCCAGCCAUUCCGCGUGAGUGAAGAAGGCCUUCGGGUUGUAAAGCUCUUUCGCAAGGGAAGAAAACUUACCUUCUAAUAAAGGGUGAGGCUGACGGUACCUUGAUAAGAAGCACCGGCUAACUACGUGCCAGCAGCCGCGGUAAUACGUAGGGUGCGAGCGUUAAUCGGAAUUACUGGGCGUAAAGCGUGCGCAGGCGGUUUUGUAAGUCAGAUGUGAAAGCCCCGGGCUCAACCUGGGAACUGCGUUUGAAACUACAAGGCU
rnacentral:rRNA from 1 species